rnacentral:tRNA from 3 species
GGGGCCGUAGCUCAGUUGGGAGAGCGCUUCCAUGGCAUGGAAGAGGUCGUCGGUUCGAUCCCGAUCGGCUCCA